rnacentral:rRNA from 1 species
ACCUGCGGAAGGAUCAUUAACGAGUUUUGAAAGCGGGGGAGGAGUCUGUUGCUGGCGUGUGAGGGGGAGGUUUCUUCUUCUUCGCAUGCAUGUGCACGGCACCCCCCUCGUUACUCAAUCCACUCAACCCCUGUGCACUUUAUGGGAGCUAGUAGUCAGUGGUUGUUCUGUUACGUUGUGUUCUUAGGUUAGUAGUCGAAAGGCGAACACUUGAGAGACGUAUGGAGUAAUUGCCGGCGAACACUUCAAUAUUAUUACAAACCCAUUCUAUUGUCAUGUUGAAUGUAUAGCUCCUUGUGGGCGAAAUAAAAUACAACUUUCAACAACGGAUCUCUUGGCUCUCGCAUCGAUGAAGAACGCAGCGAAAUGCGAUAAGUAAUGUGAAUUGCAGAAUUCAGUGAAUCAUCGAAUCUUUGAACGCACCUUGCGCCCUUUGGUAUUCCGAGGGGCAUGCCUGUUUGAGUGUCAUGUUCAUCUCAACUUCCUUGUUUAUUACAUUUGGAUGUUGGACUUGGAGGUAUUGCUGGCCCCUGCUCUAAGUCGUGGUCGGCUCCUCUUAAAUGUAUUAGCUGGGCUUUGGCUCGCGUUGACGGUGUAAUAAG